UACGGAAGGGGCAAGCGUUGUUCGGAAUCAUUGGGCGUAAAGGGCGCGUAGGUGGUUCUGUAUGUCUACCGUGAAAGCGUACGGCUCAACCGUAUUUUGUCGGUAGAAACUGCAGGACUUGAGGCUGGGAGGGCUGGUGGAAUUCCCUGUGUAGCGGUGAAAUGCGUAGAGAUGGGGAGAACACUCGUGGCGAAGGCGGCCAGCUAGACCAGUUCUGACACUGAGGCGCGACAGCGUGGGGAGCAAACAGG
rnacentral:rRNA from 1 species